GACGAACGCUGGCGGCGUGCUUAACACAUGCAAGUCGAACGGAAAGGCCCUGCUUUUGUGGGGUGCUCGAGUGGCGAACGGGUGAGUAACACGUGAGUAACCUGCCCUUGACUUUGGGAUAACUUCAGGAAACUGGGGCUAAUACCGGAUAGGAGCUCCUGCUGCAUGGUGGGGGUUGGAACGUUUCGGCGGUUGGGGAUGGACUCGCGGCUUAUCAGCUUGUUGGUGGGGUAGUGGCUUACCAAGGCUUUGACGGGUAGCCGGCCUGAGAGGGUGACCGGCCACAUUGGGACUGAGAGACGGCCCAGACUCCUACGGGAGGCAGCAGUGGGGAAUAUUGCACAAUGGGCGGAAGCCUGAUGCAGCAACGCCGCGUGCGGGAUGACGGCCUGCGGGUUGUAAACCGCUUUCGCCUGUGACGAAGCGUGAGUGACGGUAAUGGGUAAAGAAGCACCGGCUAACUACGUG
rnacentral:rRNA from 1 species